CAAACUGGGAUUUAACAUUUUGAGGCCAAACAAUAUAAAGGAUGAACGACUUUGUUCUUUAACAUGACGGGUUUUGGUCCAAACUGCAUAAAGGGGACAAACAUUUUCAGUUCAGUCUAACAGGUCGACCCUCUGUGAUUCUCAUCUCCCACAGUGGUCUUUGGUGAAACUAAAUUCAUCAGUAUCGGAUCUGUUUCAUCCAUCCAUUUUCUUGACUUAUCCAGUUCAUGGUGACGGGGGUCCUGGAGACUAUCCAGUGGCAUCGACAGGAAACACCGAGCUGAGCUCAGAGAGCAGCUUUCUUCAUAUAACCACGGCAUGAAGAAGAAAAAGCAGCAGCACGUGAGACACACCAAAAAUCAGCAUAAAAAGUAAAAAAACAUUUCUGUGAACGCAAACAAGCGGGAGUCUGAGAGCUUCCUGGAUGAGUUGAUCGGGUGGUUUUCUGAUCAUCAGCAGCAGAUCAAUCAGCUGUUCAUCCGCGGUGAUGCAGACAGAAGUGGAUCAGUCAGCCUGAAGGACUUUGAGGUUUGAUGAGUUUGGGUGUCCCUUAUCAGCAGUUUCAGCUCCACACGCUGACUCAGCAGCUGAAGACCUUCAAUGACAUGAUUAGUUAUCAAGAUUUGAUGAAACAAAUACAGUCUCUGAGUCACAGCGCAGAGCCCCGCGCUCAGAUAGCAGAGGACUUCAUAAAAAGACAAGAACCAGUGGAGACAGAAAAUUUAAAACAUCAGCAGAGACGGCAAAACACUGAAACCCAGAGGUUCAUCCGUCUGAGUGUCCGACUGAUCCCCUUCACCUCGUCCACAGCGCACCCUGGAAACUUUGAGGUGGUUUUAUCGAGCAGUCGCACAGUGUUUGGUCUGAUGAGUGCGAUCGAGGACCGAGCUGGGAUCCACACCUCAAGCCUGGAGGUUUUCAGUAGCAGAGUGCCAACAGAGGAGGCCCGCCUGCCCCUGGAGAGCACGCUGGAGGAGUGCGGCUUCAAAGGAGGGCCAGAGGAGAGGCCUCCAGAGGCCACCGUGUACUAUGACUACAGACUGCCAUUUACAGACUGUCCCAUCCUCAACUACGACCACUACAUCAGGUCGAAGCAGGAUUCUACAUCGUAUCGGGGUCUGUGAAUUACAAAGCUGUUUGGAGGUACCUACACCUACUGUAGAGACCAGUUUUGUUAUAUGCUUGAGUUUCAAUAUAACAACAACAAAGGUGACUUCGAACAGCACCCAAUGUCACGCAUAGUUGAGGUCAGAAGUAAACACACCCUAAUCAUACACAUGAAUGUUGUGUUCAUUCUGGGCUGUCAGGGAUCCUCUUUUUCCUGGAUGCAAUGAUUGCACAACAGACAUCUUUAAUGACUUUAUUAAAACAAAAACUCGGUGCACAUGUUUAAUAUGGAUUUUCCUAAUCCACACAGGCUCAAAUAUACACCAUAUACUCACUUAAAUCUUUAAAUAAGUGGUUGCUGAGUUUUCUACAGUAUAUUAUCCUGACAAGUCCAAAGCUAUUAACUUCUCAUUGGGGUCCUGAUUGACUACAGCUGGUAGUUCCUCUUUGCCAGAAAACAAUUUCUUUGACAACAUUCAUUGGAUUGACAAAUAUUCAGAACAAUGGGAAAGUCAAGGAGCUCAGAGAAGAGCUAAGAGGAAUUGUAGAUUUACCUAAGAACACAUUAUGUGAAUGAGUCAUCACUUUGCCAAAGUCUGGAAUAUGAAAAGUUGUUAGGAUGUUCAGGAACAACCCAGGAACCAGGACUCAAGACGCUGCUGUAAAACCAGUGAAAGCAAGUUUUACAUCACCACGGACUGAGAGUGUGCUGACCAAGAAAGAAGACCCUGCUGUAAAAUCCAGAAAAACCCUUUAAGCUUGAAAUUUGCAGCUGCAAAUGCAACGCAAUGACAAUGACAGGCCUUCAAACCUAAGAACACUUUCCCAACUGUCAAGCAUGGCGGUGGUAGCGUUACGCUCUGGGGCUGUUUCGCUGCCAGUCGUAAUCAUGGGUUGCAAGAGACAUCAACAACAGCUAGACAGUUUAAACUUGGACACAGUUAGUUGGGUGUUCCAAGAAGACAAUGAUCCCAAACAUAAAACCAGCUAAUGUUGAGCUUCUGGAAUGGCCUUCCCAAAGCCCUGACCUCAUCCCUAUUGAAAAUGAGUGGACUACGCUUAAAAAUCAGGUCUUUAGCAGCAAACCAACCAAUUUAUAUGAUCUCUGUUAAGUCUGCCACGUAAACUAGACACAUAUCCAGAAGGCUAUUGAUGGCUGCCAGAAGAUAUAUAUAUAUGUAUAUAUAUGUACAUGUAUUUGAACCUGUGUGGGUUAGAGAAAAUCCCAAAUGAAUUCAAACUCAUGAACCAAGUUCUUGUUUUUGUUUUAGUCAUUAAAGAUGUAUGCUGUGCAGCCAUUUCUCCCUGGAAAAAGAACACCUUGAAGAAAUCAUUAAAAGCCCCAAAUUACCACAACAUUAAUGCCCAUGAUGACCUCAGUGACAGCUAGCUGGCUAACCACCCCCAUGUUGGCAGUUACUAAAGUAAAUAUUAGCUUUACAGCUUUACUGAUGGAUACAACAGUACUGUUUUAUUAUACAUAAUUUAGUACCAUAAAUCAAGUAAUUUGGUAAGUCGGCUAACCAGUUUUAAUAGAAGAUGCUUUCUGCUGCUCAUAAAAUACAAAAAUAUGCAGGGAUGUCUUCAGUAUCCCCUUUUUGUUUGCUAGUGUUAAUAAACAUGGCGACAGAUGCCUCAUGCUUAUUUAGACUGGAAUAACAGUAAUAUCUAUUUCUAACCUCACUCAGGUCUUCCCAUUUUAUUAUUAAAAAGAACUGAAAUUCGCACAAACUAAAUUAAGAAAUAAAAAUUAAAAUGUAAGCAUAAAUGAAAGCUAACGAGCUCCUCGAGUGAACCCUCAGCAACAUUUAAAGGAGGAUUUAUGUAAGAAAGCUGCAGGGAGCGCCUCACUCAGCACCUCGCGGUCAGCUCAUGCUUUAAUUACACCCUCAGGGACGCAGUUUAAGCCGGCGUGUACAAAUCUUCACACCAGGUCAGAGUGGCGCUUUUCCCCGCAGGGCCUCGCUGGCUGAACGCUGCCAUGCUGGAGUCAGUGGAAAGUGCCUGGCUGGUGGAAACCGCAGAGCCGCUAUAAACAGUGGCCACCAAAGCGUGCCAUGCAGCUACCACACCCCACAGCUUC